rnacentral:rRNA from 1 species
UACGUAGGGCGCGAGCGUUGUCCGGAAUUAUUGGGCGUAAAGAGCUCGUAGGCGGCUUGUUGCGUCUGCUGUGAAAUCCCGGGGCUUAACCCCGGGCGUGCAGUGGAUACGGGCAGGCUGGAGGCAGGCAGGGGAGAAUGGAAUUCCCGGUGUAGCGGUGAAAUGCGCAGAUAUCGGGAGGAACACCGGUGGCGAAGGCGACUUUCUGGCCUGUAACUGACGCUGAGGCGCGAAAGCGUGGGGAGCAAACAGG